UAUUAUUGUUUUAUUUGCGCAAUUUACGUGUUUGUAACGCGUACCAUCGGAGCAAAGUAAUUAAUACACAAUUUUCUCCUCUCGAGCACAACAGUAAUUUUUUAUGUUUGCAUUAUUUUCGGAAACACUCUGGAUAUUAUAGGUAUUCGCCGUCGACUUUCGGUCGAAAACUAUACACUGUUGCGUAUCAUCAGUGGACGACGUACUU